ACCCGCGCCUGCCUGUCACGGCUCCUCACACAGCUUCUGGGACGGGAACGGAGACCCCGUGUAGUUUUGGUCCAGUCUUAGAAAAGAAGGCUCAUAAAGAGUGGAGGAAGGCGAGGGAACGGGAGGCUGGCUGGGAGCCCGCGAGACAGCGCGCCGCUGUUCCAGCGCGGCGUGUGCGCCUGGCGAUGCCAGGAUGAGUGGCAUGCAGCCCUUCAGGGGCCUCAGACUGAGCUUGGGGAGUAAGGAUACCGGCGGGCGGAAGGAGGGCAGCUUGUUCUGCAGACCUCCCAGCUCGUCUUUCAGCAGCUUCUGAGGGUUUUUCCUAGGUCCAUGAGAGACGUGAGGUCACAGGGGAAGCUGCUGCUGCACAGUGAGAGACACAGACGGAUGGGUACGGAACAUCACGACUUACCAGAUUAGAGGCCCACCCCUUCAAGAACCGUUACUGAGAUUUCCUGAAGAGAGAUGACAUUGCUUCUUGGACCUAGAGUCAGUCUGCUGGCCUCAGCCUGUGG